CGAGUAGGGGAGGUGGUUGCAGAUGGACUCUUGCCGUCUGUCUGAGGAAAGUCCGGGCUCCCGAAAGACCAAACUUGCUGGGUAACGCCCAGUGCGAGCGAUCGUGAGGAUAGUGCCACAGAAACAUACCGCCAUUUAUGGUAAGGGUGCAAAGGUGCGGUAAAAGCGCACCAGCAGCAUUGAGAGGUGCUGGCUCGGUAAACCCCGGUUGGGUGCAAGGUCGAAGGAACCACGGUUGGUCUUUUACCAGUUCCGCAGCAAAGAACCGCUUGAGGCGUCUGGUAACAGGCGUCCCAGAUAGAUAACCGCCAUCGAGGGUUGUACCGCAGCCCUUGACAACAGAACCCGGCUUACGACUUACUCUUCCC
rnacentral:RNase_P_RNA from 1 species